GAUGAACGCUGGCGGCGUGCCUAAUACAUGCAAGUCGAGCGAACGGACGAGAAGCUUGCUUCUCUGAUGUUAGCGGCGGACGGGAGAGUAACACGUGGAUAACCUACCUAUAAGACUGGGAUAACUUCGGGAAACCGGAGCUAAUACCGGAUAAUAUUUUGAACCGCAUGGUUCAAAAGUGAAAGACGGUCUUGCUGUCACUUAUAGAUGGAUCCGCGCUGCAUUAGCUAGUUGGUAAGGUAACGGCUUACCAAGGCAACGAUGCAUAGCCGACCUGAGAGGGGGAUCGGCCACACGGGAACUGAGACACGGUCCAGACUCCUACGGGAGGCAGCAGUAGGGAAUCUUCCGCAAUGGGCGAAAGCCUGACGGAGCAACGCCGCGUGAGUGAUGAAGGUCUUCGGAUCGUAAAAAUCUGUUAUUAGGGAAGAACAUAUGUGUAAGUAACUGUGCACAUCUUGACGGUACCUAAUCAGAAAGCCACGGCUAACUACGUG
rnacentral:rRNA from 1 species